CUGCCCUCCAGCAGAUCAGCAUUCCCACCCAAUUUGGUAACAUCUGCAAACUUGCUGAGGGUGCACCAACACCAUCAGCAGUUCCGUAGCAAGCUGUUUAUUGUAGUUAAAAGGAGAGUCGAGCUGUACACGGGUGAAAUUAACAUCCUAGACUGAUAUUCUCCAAGAACGCCUAUUCAUCAGCUCAGUUGUCCUGGAAAACACUGAACAAUGAGAUGCAGUACACAAGAACUAUCAAAAGGGAGCACUUUUGAGCCACUGAAACUGCAUGAUGGGCUGAAAACCACAAUCUCCCAGCUGCAGACAAUGAUACUAUCUCAGCUGCAAGGACAUUUAGAUCUUCUAACUCACCUAUCACAGACCACUGCAUUUUAUCCAGGAAAUCUGCACAUGCUGAUGAAGCAAAACCAACAUCCACACAACACCUCCUCCCGUAUCCCAAGGCAGAGCCACCAAAAGAAGCAGUCCCAGGUGCUCUCCAGAUUGUAGCUGUUAAUUCUUCCCUGAUGCUCUCUCCUUGUGCUGCCAUGCAUAGCAGCUGGGCAGGAGCAGAGAAGAGCUGUGGCACA